GGAAAUGUGUGCACAGAAAAAGGAAAUCUGUAAUUCUUUAAAAACUGGAAGACAUUCUUCCUCACCAAAAUGGGUACAUUCUGCUCAGUUGUCAAGUUUGAAAAUCUCCAAGAAAUAAAGUGACUUUGUCACUGGGGUCCCAUUAUAGCUCUUGGUGUUAUAGCAAUAUGUUCUACCAUGGCCAUGAUUGACUCUGUGUUGUGGUAUUGGCCCUUACAUACCACUGGAGGAAGCGUGAAUUUCAUUAUGUUGAUAAACUGGACUGUCAUGAUUCUUUAUAAUUACUUCAGUGCCAUGUUUGUUGGUCCUGGCUUCGUCCCUCUGGGGUGGAAACCGAAAAAUUCUCAGGAUAGCAUGUACCUCCAGUAUUGUAAAGUCUACCAAGCAUACAUGGCACCACGGUCACAUCACUGCAGAAAGUGUAACAGAUGUGUGAUGAAGAUGGACCAUCACUGCCCUUGGAUCAACAACUGCUGUGGCUAUCAGAAUCAUGCUUCCUUCACUCUGUUCCUCCUUUUAGCACCACUGGGCUGUAUUCACGCUGCCUUUAUUUUUGUCAUGACAAUGUAUACGCAGCUUUAUAAUCAGAUGAAAAUAAUUCUCAGAAACAAAACUUCUAUUGAAUCAUGGAUUGAAGAGAAGGCUAAAGAUCGAAUUCAAUAUUAUCAACUAGAUGAUGACUUUGUUUUUCCUUAUGAUAUGGGAAGUAGAUGGAAGAACUUCAAACAAGUAUUCACAUGGUCAGGGGUCCCUGAAGGAGAUGGGCUGGAUUGGCCAGUUAGAGAAGACUGUCACCAGUACAGCUUAACAAUAGAACAUUUGAAACAAAAAGCAGAUAAAAGAGUCAGAAGUGUCCGGUAUAAAGUGAUAGAAGAUUAUAGUGGUACCUGCUGUCCUUUGAAUAGAGGAAUCAAAACAUUCUUCACAAGCCCCUGUACUGAGGAACCUCGGAUAAGACUACAGAAAGGGGAAUUCAUCUUAGCUACAAGAGGGUUACAGUACUGGUUGUAUGGAGACAAAAUUCUUGAUGAUUCUGUUUUAGAAGGUGUUUCAAGAAUAAGAGGAUGUUUCCCUAGAAACUGUGUAGAAAAGUGCCCCUGUGACGCCAAAACAGAUCAAGCCCCAGAGGGCGAGAAGAAAAACAGAUAGCUGCUUUUGAAGUAAAAUUCCUCUCAGUCCGCUCCAUUACUUGAAAACUGUACAUAUUACUAAAGAAUUAUGCAAUGAGCCUACUCUGGUUAAGGUGUUCUUUUCCUCAAAGGUGCCCUAGUGCCAUGAUCUAGAUAUUUUUAUUACCACUUUGAAAUGGAGAAGCCAUUCUGCACUUGCCUUUGAAUUCCUGCACCUCUCUGCCACCUCUCCCCUCCCCCAAAGGAAAAACACUUCACCCAAGCGAGUCAAUUGCAUUUUCUCUAGAGUUUUGUGUGCGCUGCACACAGUGGACCUGACGUGCAGAUAGAGGUCCCCCUCUACCAGGAGCAUCUGCAUGCGAUGCUUUUAUCCUCUGUCCCCCUCGGCCGAAUUUCUGAUAUUCCAGAUACUAUAGAACUUAACUUGUCAGAUUCAGUGUAAGCUCAGAUUUUAUUACCCGUCUUUUAAUAAUGAUGAUUUUGUCAAAUCAAAUAAAGAUCAAUGGCUGUUCUGUAUAAAUCAUAGUUUUUACUCCAGUCAUCUUUCUUUUUGCCGACUAAAAAGGAGUGUUAUUUCCUAUGGAAAAACUGCUGCUUUACUGCCUCUUGGAAAAUUCAGAUCUUUAAUCAUAAGUCUUAAGACAUAUAUAUUUGCCUCAAAUAAAUAAUUAAUGGCAUAUU